rnacentral:rRNA from 1 species
CCCCUAGAUGUUCUGGGCCGCACGCGUGCUACACUGAGUGGAUCAGCGGGUCAGGUUGCGCGAAAGUGUUUCCUAAUCUUGAAAUCCGCUCGUGAUGGGGAUUGACGGUUGCAAUUUUCCGUCAUGAACGAGGAAUACCUUGUAAGCGCGGGUCAUCAUCCCGCGCUGAAUACGUCCCUGCCCUUUGUACACACCGCCCGUCGCUCCUACCGAUUGAGUGGUCCGGUGAGGCUUUGGGAUCUGAGCAAAGAGAGCGUUUCGCUCGUUUUGCCCGGAAAACUCAGUCGAACCUUAUCAUUUAGAGGAAGGAGAAGUCGUAACA